rnacentral:rRNA from 1 species
UGGGGAAUUUUGGACAAUGGGCGCAAGCCUGAUCCAGCAAUGCCGCGUGCAGGAUGAAGGCCUUCGGGUUGUAAAGCUCUUUCAGCCGGAAAGAAAUCGCGCAGGAUAAUACUCUGCGUGGAUGACGGUACCGGAAGAAGAAGCACCGGCUAACUACGUGCCAGCAGCCGCGGUAAUACGUAGGGUGCGAGCGUUAAUCGGAAUUACUGGGCGUAAAGCGUGCGCAGGCGGUUAUAUAAGACAGAUGUGAAAUCCCCGGGCUCAACCUGGGACCUGCAUUUGUGACUGUAUAGCUAGAGUACGGUAGAGGGAGAUGGAAUUCCGCGUGUAGCAGUGAAAUGCGUAGAUAUGCGGAGGAACACCGAUGGCGAAGGCAAUCCCCUGGACCUGUACUGACGCUCAUGCACGAAAGCGUGGGGAGCAAACA